UCUCUGUUAGUAUAUCGGUUAGUACACGCGCCUGUCAUGAGCUAUCCGAUCGCGCGAAAGCGGGGUUCGACUCCCCGACAGAGAG
rnacentral:tRNA from 1 species